CAUUUCCUACGGGGGGCAGCAGUAGGGAAUCUUCCACAAUGGACGAAAGUCUGAUGGAGCAACGCCGCGUGAGUGAAGAAGGGUUUUGGCUCGUAAAUCUCUGUUGGUAGUGAAGAAAGAUAGAGGUAGUAACUGGCCUUUAUUUGACGGUAAUUACUUAGAAAGUCACGGCUAACUACGUGCCAGCAGCCGCGGUAUACGUAGGUGGCAAGCGUUUUCCGGGUUUAUUGGGCGUAAAGCGAG
rnacentral:rRNA from 1 species